rnacentral:rRNA from 1 species
UAGGGAAUCUUCGGCAAUGGACGAAAGUCUGACCGAGCAACGCCGCGUGAGUGAAGAAGGUUUUCGGAUCGUAAAACUCUGUUGUUAGAGAAGAACAAGGACGUUAGUAACUGAACGUCCCCUGACGGUAUCUAACCAGAAAGCCACGGCUAACUACGUGCCAGCAGCCGCGGUAAUACGUAGGUGGCAAGCGUUGUCCGGAUUUAUUGGGCGUAAAGCGAGCGCAGGCGGUUUCUUAAGUCUGAUGUGAAAGCCCCCGGCUCAACCGGGGAGGGUCAUUGGAAACUGGGAGGUUUGAGUGCAGAAGAGGAGGGUGGAAUUCCAUGUGUAGCGGUGAAAUGCGUAGAUAUAUGGAGGAACACCAGUGGCGAAGGCGGCUCUCUGGUCUGUAACUGACGCUGAGGCUCGAAAGCGUGGGGAGCAAACAGG